AAUCAUAUGACUCAUUAAUAUGGUGAUUAUGAUAACAUAAGGGAAAAAAAUGAUAUUACCUUAUUAUUAGUGUUGUCCAAAACUGGUGCCAGAAGACUCGGUAAGACCAGAGACGCAAACGUUAGUCAUCUUAAUCAGGCGUAAAGGGUUUGUAGGCUGCUUUAAAAUUUUAAAUCUUUGUAAUAGCUCUUUUACCGUAAUGCUAUAUUUAUUUAUUUGAUUUGAUUUGAUAAUAAAUAAUAUAAUAUAUAAAUUUUAUUAUAUAAAAUAAUAAAUGAUAUUAAAUAAAUAUUCGUGUAUCAGUAAAGAAAUAAAUGAAUUAAAGCUAGGAUCAAAUUGAGGAUAAACCAAAUAAUACUUAGAGUAGGGCUUAUAUCCGUAGAUACUAAGGGGAAUACUAAAGGUGAAAACUUUUUAUCUACUAUUGAUUGACGCUGAGAAACGAAGGUGAGAAUAGGAAAUAGGAUUAGAUACCCAGAUACCUCUCACUGUCAACGAUGAAUGGUGGUUUGUUAGUUUUAAUAAAAACUGGUAACGAUGUUAACACGAUAACCAUUCCGCCUUGCGAGUACGGUUGCAAAACUGAAACCAAAAAAAUUAGUCGGUUUCGAAGCAAACGAAGUGAGCAUGUUAUUUAAUACGAGAGUACUUGUAUAUCCAAUUAUGUUCUUAGUUAAUUCUAAGUUCUUUUUAAUAAGAAAAACAGAUUGAUUUUUAUAAUAUUUAAAAAUUCGUUUACA
rnacentral:rRNA from 1 species